rnacentral:rRNA from 1 species
GACGAACGCUGGCGGCGUGCUUAACACAUGCAAGUCGAACGGAAAGGCCCUGCUUUUGUGGGGUGCUCGAGUGGCGAACGGGUGAGUAACACGUGAGUAACCUGCCCUUGACUUUGGGAUAACUUCAGGAAACUGGGGCUAAUACCGGAUAGGAGCUCCUGCUGCAUGGUGGGGGUUGGAAAGUUUCGGCGGUUGGGGAUGGACUCGCGGCUUAUCAGCUUGUUGGUGGGGUAGUGGCUUACCAAGGCUUUGACGGGUAGCAGGGCUGAGAGGGUGACCGGCCACACUGGGACUGAGAUACGGCCCAGACUCCUACGGGAGGCAGCAGUGGGGAAUAUUGUACAAUGGGCGGAAGCCUGAUGCAGCAACGCCGCGUGGGGGAUGACGGCCUUCGGGUUGUAAACCGCUUCCGCCUGUGACGAAGCGUGAGUGACGGUAAUGGGUAAAUAAGCACCGGCUAACUACGUG